rnacentral:sRNA from 1 species
GGGGACUUGUUCCCUAGGUCCAGGAUCUUCCUAAUGCAUCGCCCCAGCCAUGAACAACGCGGAGUUCUGUAAUACCCGCGUCUGGCUCCGCAGCAGAACACGAAGUUUUCAUUCCCCAAGGGGCGGCCAGGGGGCGAACUAGGGAAAGGUAGUCCUCUGCAUUCUGCCGUGUGCUGGAAUGGUGCAGAGUGACGAUGGCGUGGCGGUAAGGGGUUGAGGGCUCACGCGAACGCCUAAGUGACCAGAACGACUGGUGUGAAACCGUGAUCUGACUCUCUGGAGCCUGGGACUGGUUUCAGCGAGAGCCUCUGUACUGCUCUGUAGUCUCCGCUAGGACAUGGACGAAAAGGGACGCAGCCGGGAGAGCGACUGCCCCAGGUGGGGGCUGGGGGGACGUAAGGGAAGAAUAAUGAUUAUCUGGCUAUGUUUUUGUUUUAAAAAAAAAAAAAAACUGGUGUAAAUCUCCAUAGACUUCCUAUCCUCGCUCCCUUCACCCACCCACGCGCUCCCAAGAUGCAAUAAGCAAAUAAAAAGACUAAUAACGCUGUA